CCCCCUGUUUGUAAUCUGAUACAGUAGACUGCAGUUGUCUGAGCCUGAACCUCCCCAGUCUUGGCACAGCUCGCUUCUAAGAUCGCUGGUGAGACGAACGCGGUUCCCUGCACGGAGCUGGGCGUGAGCACCUGUGUAACCGAUCUGAACAACACGUGCUGUCACAUUCCUUCUCCAGACCUCACAGCAAAACAAGUUCCAGAUGGACUAAAGGUCUGAUGCUACAAAAUAAAUCUCUAAACCUAUAAAAAUGCUGGAAGACUUCGCAGGGACUUUUUCCAGAGAGGAGAGUGG
rnacentral:lncRNA from 1 species